CUAGUCCAACUUUAUGAAAUAACUUAAGAGGUGUAAUUUAAGAGGGACCCAAAAGAAAAAAGUGAAAUACCACUAUUUUUAACAUUAUUUUACUUAUUCCAAGGAUUAAAAAUGGGGAACUGCCCCUCUUUUUGGACUCGAGGCUUGCUUUGAGGGCUGAUUGCCCAUGUCGAUGUUGUGUGCUG
rfam:Capsicum annuum cultivar Zunla-1 chromosome 5, whole genome shotgun sequence